GGCGAAGUAGCUCAGCUGGCUAGAGCGUUCGGUUCAUACCCGAAAGGUCGUGAGUUCGAUCCUCUCCUUCGCUACCA
rnacentral:tRNA from 1 species